CAUUACCGAGUACUAUAACUCAUAACCCUUUGUGAACCUUCAUACCUGUUGCUUCGGCGGCGCGCCUCUCGGGGCGUGCCCGCCGGCAUUAUCAGAAUCUCUGUUCGAACCCGACGAUACUUCUGAGUGUUCUAAGCGAACNUGUUAAAACUUUCAACAACGGAUCUCUUGGCUCCAGCAUCGAUGAAGAACGCAGCGAAACGCGAUAUGUAAUGUGAAUUGCAGAAUUCAGUGAAUCAUCAAAUCUUUGAACGCACAUGGCGCCUUCCAGUAUCCUGGGAGGCAUGCCUGUCCGAGCGUCGUUUCAACCCUCGAGCCCCCGUGGCCCGGCGUUGGGGACCUGCCCAGGCAGUCCCCGAAAACCAGUGGCGGACCCGACGGGCCCUUCCUUUGCGUAGUAACAUCUGCCUCGCAUCGGGAGCCCCCGGGCUAUCCGGCCUCUAAACCCCCCUCAAGCCCGCUCCGGCGGCACCAAGGUUGACCUCGGAUCAGGUAGGAAUACCCGCUGAACUUAAGCAUAUCAAUAAGCGGAGGAAAAGA
rnacentral:rRNA from 1 species